rnacentral:tRNA from 1 species
CGGGAAGUAGCUCAGCUUGGUCGAGCACUUGGUUUGGGACCACGGGGUCGCAGGUUCGAAUCCUGUCUUCCCGA